GCUAUCAAUUUUUAACUAAAUUUACACAUGCAAGACUCCUCACCCCGGUGAAAAUACCCUUUAUCCUCCCUUUAGAGGCAAAGGAGUUGGUAUCAGGCUCAAAUAGCCCAAAACACCUAGCAACGCCACUCCCCCACGGGAACUCAGCAGUGAUUAACAUUAAAUAUUGGCGUAAGCCAGAUUUAGUUAUAGUUAAGAAAGUCGGUUAAUUUCGUGCCAGCCACCGCGGUUAUACGAGAGACUUUAACUGAUAGCCAUCGGCGUAAAGCGUGAUUAGGGGGUUUAUAAAAUAAAGUUAAACUCUAAUUUAGCUGUUAUACGCUCUUAUUAUUGAGGAAGUCCAUUAACGAAAGUAACUUUAAUAUUCCUGAAUUCACGGUAACCAGGGUACAAACUGGGAUUAGAUACCCCACUAUGCCUGGUCUCAAACUUUAAUUAAUUACAAUUUCAUUCGCCAGGGGACUACGAGCAUUAGCUUAAAACCCAAAGGACUUGGCGGUGCCCUAAACCACCUAGAGGAGCCUGUUCUAUAAUCGAUAAUCCACGAUAAACCUCACCGUUUCUUGCCAAAACCGCCUAUAUACCGCCGUCGUCAACUCACCCUUUGAAGGCACCACAGUAAGUUUAAAGGUAAACACCAAAACGUCAGGUCAAGGUGUAGCGAAUGAAACGGGAAGAAAUGGGCUACAUUUUCUAUUCUAGACUAUACGGACAAUCAUUAUGAAAUCUGAUUGUGAAGGAGGAUUUAGCAGUAAAAAGAAAUCAUCAUGUUCUUUUUAACAUGGCCCUAGGGCGCGCACACACCGCCCGUCACCCUCUUCAAUAUAAAAUUUUUUAUUUAUAAUAAUACUUAAUAAACCAAGAAGAGGUAAGUCGUAACAUGGUAAGUAUACCGGAAGGUGUACUUGGA
rnacentral:ncRNA from 1 species